AAGGAAAAAGGCAUGAAGGAGGGUGCCUGCAGAGGAGAAGGGCUCUAACUUCUGAAGAAACACAACGCUUGGUAAUUACUACAAUGCAAAGGCCCCUUUCCUCCCACUCGCUGCCUCCAUCUGCCUUCUCCACGUGGACUGCUCUGCUGCUGUAGCAGUUACUGGGGAGACGCCACGCUUAUCGCCUUCUGAUGCUGAACUCAUUUUGCAGAUAAUGGCCUUGAACUCUGGCUCUGCCAACGGAGCUGAAAUGUGUGCUGUGAGCAACUUGAUAGAAUGUCAUGGGUCAACAUCCAAGGUGUGGUACAGCCUGUUCAGAGAGGACAGGACUAGGAUGGAAAGCUUGCCAAGCUGGCUCCUGGGUUUAAAAUCACCGCACAAUUAGCAGCUGGCUGUGGCUAGCUUGCAAGAAGAGUUUUAGAUCUGCUGCAGUGAGUCUGCACUCACUGCAGUGUCCUCAGGAUCGUCCCAUUGCAGCCUGGGCAAAUCUCUCUUGGUGCACCAAGAGAGACCUGGGGAACCUGGCCAGCCUAGCACCAACACAACUUAAGGUGUUAACACAACUGUAUUAAAAAAACCCUUACUUUCUUUCACUCAGGCAGCUUGUUUUGCCUGUAUGGAGUGGCUUGAUCAAGUUGACAGAAAAUACAGUGGUGUUGAUACAGGUGUGCCAGCUGCAGGAAUUCUCUGCUGGGUUUGUUUAUUUGUACACUUGAGCUGCAGGCACAGCCCUGGAGAUGCCUGGGAUGGAGCUGGAAGCAGAGUGGAAGCUCACACCUGUUUUUGAGAGAUCUGUCCAGAGAUGAGAGGAAGUUAGGCAGGAGAGAAGGCAGAAGGUACACUCAUCUUCUGCACGUUUUACCUUAAACAAGAGCUUUCUUCUUGUUCUUCAGAGCUGUCAGCACCUGAACAUUAGGCUUAAUGAACACGCAUAGAAACAUUAGCUUUCCAUCAUUGCUGUUUUUUCUGAAUACGAAAAGAGGGAAGUAUUCUUUCAGCUCCUGCUGAUAGUGUUAGAUGCCUGCAGAUGCUCUGUUCUUUCACUCAGAAUUUCAUUCUGCUGGGCUCCCCCAGCUCAAGGUUAACAGCUAAGCCAUAUCGCAGCUAGCUGCAGACUUGGCUUCCCAACUACCAGAUGGUAUUUGAAGCAUUUGGACUUGCAGCAUUUCUAAAACAAGUUGCUUUUAAUGCAGCUUACCCCGUGCUUUGCUGCAGUCCACGUUCUUCUGUAUUUAAACCUCGCUCUGUCUCAGAUUGAGGUCAGUGGGAAUUUUGCUACCAGCUCCGAGGGAUGAAGUGCUGGGCUGUAAAGUUUGCAGUGCUUCUUUCCCUUGGAAAGCAAUACCUUAUAAACUGUGUUUUGCUC
rnacentral:lncRNA from 1 species